AUGCACAAAUACUGGAAGCACAUAUACUAAAACUGGAAUGAUACAGAGAAGAUUAGCAUGGCCCCUGCGCAAGGAUGACAUACAAAUUAGUGUCCCAUAUUUUU